AGUACAAUUGCUGGAUCAUAUGAUAAAAGUAUGUUUAAUUUUGUAAGAAACUGACAAACUGUCUUCCAAAGUGGAUGUACCAUUAUGCAUUUCCACCAGCAAU
rnacentral:pre_miRNA from 1 species